ACUGGAGCAAAUGAUUUCAUCACAAUAGGUGGCUCCCGUCUAAAUAGGGAUCGUUUGUGAAAUGAGAUUAUAGCCGUUUCUGUGAAACAUCAGCAGACAGAGGCACCUGCUUUCUGCAUGGACGUCCCAGGGGGUUCUGCAGGCUGCCGCCUCAGUGGCUAAUUCCAUUUCCAGCCAAGAGCCUCCCUUUCCUGCUCUGGACCAGGAGGCCCCCACAUCCACAUGGAGUCAACUCCAGAUCCGUGUUUUCUAUUACGCUUGAAUAUAUGGGACACGCGUCGCAAUCCUAUGCCCGCCACCCUGCUGCAGUGCACUUGUCUGGCAGAGCCCUGUGGCCGCUGGUCCACGCCGUGACUCCCAGCCCCGGACACACGCUCCAUGCCUCUGGCCUGGCUGUCUUGCCACGGUUUCGAAGCUUCCUCUCAGCGCCCGGCUCCCGUUUGCUGAGAAGCCGCCUGCUCUUUGCAUGGGAGCUGCAGGCAGCAGCCUUGUCGCGAGUCGCAGUGCACCCUCUGCGGGGAGCCAGAAGGUGAGUACCCCUCACCCCCGCCUCAGGUGGGCAUGCCCUGUGCUGAAACAGACACUGCAGCGUGCCUGCCUGAGGCAGCUAAAAACCCCAAAUGCGUGCUUGGUGGUGUUUGAUGGAAAAAGUGAGUGAAAAACCAGAACCCAAGGGAUGAGCUUUGCUCAGGACACACUCAUCUCUAGAGGAAAACUGGCCUCGCACCCAGAUUGCCACACGUGCGGUCUGGGUGGAGAAAGUUAACUCAUUUUCUCCCUGUAAUCAGUGCCAGUGUUGGAAAUACAUCUCAAUAAAUUGGCCGNAAGGUGAGUACCCCUCA
rnacentral:lncRNA from 1 species